rnacentral:rRNA from 1 species
GGGUCAGUAGGUUGGUCGUGCCACCGGUACGUACUGGUCUCACUGAUUCCUCCUUCCUGACCAACCGUAAUGCCAUUAAUUUGGUGUUGCGGGGAAACAGGACUGUUACUUUGAAAAAAUUAGAGUGUUUAAAGCAAGCUAACGCUUGAAUACGUUAGCAUGGAAUAAUGAAAUAGGACGAUCGAUCCUAUUUUGUUGGUUUCUAGGAUUGACUUA